CGUGUGGUAUUCCGGAGAAUGUAAAAUUGGACACCAUGGUAGCGUAGCUGUUAGCGAGACGCUAUUACAGUUGGAGUUUGGAGUUCAAAGCUGGCGUCCUCUGUAAGGAGUCACCGUGGGGCGCGUGGGUUUCCUCCCACAGUCUAAAUUGGUCAUUGUGGAGCCUGUUCCCCAAAGUGAAUGAUGUCAGUGCUUGAUUUGAAAUGCUGCCUGACCUGCUGAGCUCCUCCAUUUUGUACAAGUUGCUCUGGAUUUCCAACAUCUAAACUCCGCCAAGCAACCUUCUUCCAGGACUACCUCUGGUAACCCCUUCCAGAAACCCACCACCCUCUACCUCAAACUUACCCCUCACACUGCCUUUAAACAUUGAAGUUCAAAGCGACUUCAUUAUCAAAAAUGGGACCCACGGCCGGCUGCUUUUCGAUAUGCCAAGGACGCAGCCUAGGAGACCAGCGUGCCUUUAGGGCGCUGGAAUUCUGUGGUUCUGGAAGCGGGCUGAUUCAGGACCACCAACGACUGAUGGGAAAACAAGGAAGAUCGGAAGCAGCGGGCUUACAGCUGGCUGUGUGCCCAGAGGCACAGAGCUCGGAAAGAACGAUGCAACAGACUCUUAACAGCGUAUAUCAGUGAGUUGUUUGUUAUGUGGAAGGGGGACACCUCUUUAAGGGAUUCUUAGAGAGAGAGAGAGCCUGUGGUAUGUCGAAUACAGGGUGAACGGGUUGUCUUUGGGGUACUGUAAGAAUGUGUCUUUAUUGAUGCU